rfam:Brachypodium distachyon strain Bd21 chromosome 1, whole genome shotgun sequence.
UAUGUACUCCCUCCGUCCCAUAUUAAGUGACUUCCUAUUACAUGUAUCUAGACGUAUUUUAAUAUAUAGAUACAUCCAUAUUUAGACAAAUUUGAGUCACUUAAUAUGGGACGGAGGGAGUAAUAG